GAUGAACGCUGGCGGCGUGCCUAAUACAUGCAAGUCGAGCGAACAGACGAGGAGCUUGCUCCUCUGACGUUAGCGGCGGACGGGUGAGUAACACGUGGAUAACCUACCUAUAAGACUGGGAUAACUUCGGGAAACCGGAGCUAAUACCGGAUAAUAUAUUGAACCGCAUGGUUCGAUAGUGAAAGACGGUUUUGCUGUCACUUAUAGAUGGAUCCGCGCCGCAUUAGCUAGUUGGUAAGGUAACGGCUUACCAAGGCAACGAUGCGUAGCCGACCUGAGAGGGUGAUCGGCCACACUGGAACUGAGACACGGUCCAGACUCCUACGGGAGGCAGCAGUAGGGAAUCUUCCGCAAUGGGCGAAAGCCUGACGGAGCAACGCCGCGUGAGUGAUGAAGGUCUUCGGAUCGUAAAACUCGGUUAUUAGGGAAGAACAAAUGUGUAAGUAACUAUGCACGUCUUGACGGUACCUAAUCAGAAAGCCACGGCUAACUACGUG
rnacentral:rRNA from 1 species